rfam:Heligmosomoides polygyrus genome assembly, scaffold: HPBE_scaffold0003581
GCCCGCGUGGCCUAAUGGAUAAGGCGUCUGACUUCUAAUCAGAAGAUUGCCGGUUCGAUCCCGGCCGUGGGCU